GCAAACUUGGUCAUUUAGAGGAAGUAAAAGUCGUAACAAGGUUUCCGUAGGUGAACCUGCGGAAGGAUCAUUAACAAAUCAACAAACAACCCUGUGUCCAUGUCUUCUUUCCCCUUAUGUUUUGUGUGAUGAGAUAGUAUCAUCAUAUGUGAUAGUGUUGUGUGUAUACUUAUAUGCCAAGUGUAUAUAUGUAGCUCACUGACAUCUAUCAGAUGUGCUGAAUAAGAUCUCUAUCACCAUCUAUAAGGGGAGAGUUUAUCAUCUUUAUUGACUAUGAUUGACAAGCCUUAGCAGAUCAUUAUAAAAAUGUUAUUAAACAACUUUUAACAAUGGAUCUCUUGGCUCUUGCAUCGAUGAAGAACGCAGC
rnacentral:misc_RNA from 1 species